rnacentral:rRNA from 1 species
AGAGUUUGAUCCUGGCUCAGGAUGAACGCUGACAGAAUGCUUAACACAUGCAAGUCAACUUGAACUUCGGUUUGGGUGGCGGACGGGUGAGUAACGCGUAAAGAACUUGCCUCACAGAUAGGGACAACAUUUGGAAACGAAUGCUAAUACCUGAUAUUAUGAUUUUAGGGCAUCCUAGAAUUAUGAAAGCUAUAUGCGCUGUGAGAGAGCUUUGCGUCCCAUUAGCUAGUUGGAGAGGUAACGGCUCACCAAGGCGAUGAUGGGUAGCCGGCCUGAGAGGGUGAUCGGCCACAAGGGGACUGAGACACGGCCCUUACUCCUACGGGAGGCAGCAGUGGGGAAUAUUGGACAAUGGACCAAGAGUCUGAUCCAGCAAUUCUGUGUGCACGAUGAAGUUUUUCGGAAUGUAAAGUGCUUUCAGUUGGGAAGAAAAAAAUGACGGUACCAACAGAAGAAGUGACGGCUAAAUACGUGCCAGCAGCCGCGGUAAUACGUAUGUCACAAGCGUUAUCCGGAUUUAUUGGGCGUAAAGCGCGUCUAGGUGGUUAUGUAAGUCUGAUGUGAAAAUGCAGGGCUCAACUCUGUAUUGCGUUGGAAACUGUGUAACUAGAGUACUGGAGAGGUAAGCGGAACUACAAGUGUAGAGGUGAAAUUCGUAGAUAUUUGUAGGAAUGCCGAUGGGGAAGCCAGCUUACUGGACAGAUACUGACGCUGAAGCGCGAAAGCGUGGGUAGCAAACAGGAUUAGAUACCCUGGUAGUCCACGCCGUAAACGAUGAGUGCUAAGUGUUGGAGGGUUUCCGCCCUUCAGUGCUGCAGUUAACGCAUUAAGCACUCCGCCUGGGGAGUACGACCGCAAGGUUGAAACUCAAAG